rnacentral:rRNA from 1 species
GACGAACGCUGGCGGCGUGCUUAACACAUGCAAGUCGAACGGAAAGGCCCGGCUUUUGUGCGUUUCUCGAUUGGCGAACAGGUGAGUAACACGCGUGUAACCUGCCCUUGUCUUUGUGAUAACUUCUGGAAACUGCGGCGAAUACCGGGGAGAAUCUCUUGCUGCGUGGUGGUGAUUGGAAAGUGUCGGCUUUGGUGGCUGUACUCGCUGGUUAUCAGCUUGUUGGUGGGGUAGUGGCGUACCACGGCUUUGAGGGGUAGCCGGCAUGAGAGGGUGACCGGGCACAUGGGGCCUGCGAUACGGAGCAGACUCCUACCGGAGGCAGCAGGGGGGAAUAUUGCAGAAUGGGCGGACGCCUGAUGCAGCAACGCCGCGUGCGGGAUGCCGGCCUUCGAGUUGUAAACAGAUGUCGAAUGUGACGAAGAGUGAGUGACGGUAAUGGGUAAAGAAGCCACGGCUAACUACGUG